rnacentral:rRNA from 1 species
GAUGAACGCUGGCGGCGUGCCUAAUACAUGCAAGUCGAGCGAACAGACGCGGAGCUUGCUCCUCUGACGUUAGCGGCGGACGGGUGAGUAACACGUGGAUAACCUACCUAUAAGACUGGUAUCACUUCGGGAAACCGGAGCUAAUACCGGAUAAUAUAUUGAACCGCAUGGUUCAAUAGUGAAAUACGGUUUUGCUGUCACUUAUAGAUGGAUCCGCGCCGCAUUAGCUAGUUGGUAAGGUAACGGCUUACCAAGGCAACGAUGCGUAGCCGACCUGAGAGGGUGAUCGGCCACACGGGAACUGAGACACGGUCCAGACUCCUACGGGAGGCAGCAGUAGGGAAUCGUCCGCAAUGGGCGAAAGCCUGACGGAGCAACGCCGCGUGAGUGAUGAAGGUCUUCGGAGCGUAAAACUCUGUUAUUAGGGAAGAACAAAUGUGUAAGUAACUAUGCACGUCUUGACGGUACCGAAUCAGAAAGCCACGGCUAACUACGUG